UACGAGGGGGGCUAGCGUUGCUCGGAAUUACUGGGCGUAAAGCGCACGUAGGCGGAUUGUUAAGUCGGGGGUGAAAUCCUGGAGCUCAACUCCAGAACUGCCUUCGAUACUGGCGAUCUCGAGUUCGGGAGAGGUGAGUGGAACUGCGAGUGUAGAGGUGAAAUUCGUAGAUAUUCGCAAGAACACCAGUGGCGAAGGCGGCUCACUGGCCCGAUACUGACGCUGAGGUGCGAAAGCGUGGGGAGCAAACAGG
rnacentral:rRNA from 1 species